GACCUAGACUGGUGGAAGGAGAUAUCCUAGAAUUUUCAAGGAUGAUUUCACCCUUAAAAAGCUUCUUCUCAAAAUUUUGCAAAUCAUUUGAUAAAAUAUUUUCAGAUGUCAGUUCUCCAACUGAGCACAAAGUUGCAUUGUGGCUAAACUUUUGCGAUGCUUGUACAUGCAUAAAGUUUAACUUGAGAGUGUAUUUAUGACAUGGAUUAAUUAACAAUCGCCAUGAUUACUGGACUAUUUCA
rnacentral:misc_RNA from 1 species